AGUGGAGGAAAAUGGAUGGAUGGACGGCAUUUAAAGAGAAGGGUUUAGGUAAUGACAGGUGAAAUAUACUAUGGAUCUCUGGGAGAGAACAUGCACAGGGAGAACAUGCAAACUCCACACAGAAAGGCCCAGAGUCAGCUCGGGCCCAAACCCGGAACCUUUUUGCUGUGACAUAACAGUGCUAACCAUCACGCCAUUGUGUCACCCGCACUGGCUGUAUAUCAAAACUCAAACCAAAAACUAAAACCAGCCUUUACAAAACAGGAUUUAAAUGAUUUCAUAAGCAUUCGUUCCCUUGAAAAAGGAACUUCACGGUGACUCUGUGUCAGGUCUGUAGCAGUUUUGUUCAUUUUUAUGAGCGAAUUUUCCAAAAUGUUCUUUGUUAUACAGCUCAGGCUCUGUCAGGUGCAAUGGUAACCAUGAGAGAAUUACCAUUAACUUUAUUUUUUUAUUUUAUAGUCACCCCGUCAGCAGUGCCAUUUAGGGCAAGAGCUGAUGAUAACUCUGAACCAGUGGAAACCAGAUGUAUGAGCAGCCCUCCUCACUCCUCUCCUCUUGCUUGUCCAGCCAAUCCAAGUUCACCAUCACCAAGUGUGAAUUCAGCAAUGUCCCCAAGGACACCAACAGCAAGCAUUGACCAGGAGGAUUCAAGCCUGACAAGAUAUGUCAGGUUAAUCCUAAUGAAACUGGGUAAAAAUUGAGCAGCGUCUUGAGGCCAUUAAUUCUGCAAUAGGCCAUGGUAUUACAUCUCAGGACCCUGAGAUCUUGGAGGACUUUGGAACACCACUGGAUGCGCCAGAACAACUGGAAGAAGCUUCAGCAAAGCUGAGGGACCAGAACUAUGGAAAUAAAAUGGUUAACUACCUGAGCCUUUUGGGUGGACGAAGUAGAAUAAUGCACAAAAUUGGCACCAAUGCCCUUUGGGCAACCUAUAGCCUGAAGGGCCGAAAAGAUGCAUGUUGCAGAAUACAUCCGGCAGUGGCCCAGCAGGUCUUUGAACACUUUGUUGCAGAGACUUUAAAGUAUGCACUCCACAGGGGAAUUCAGGUGGUUAGGGCACUUUCACAAUCUGAGGACAGACACUGAAGUGGGGAAGCUGUGCGGAAGGAUGUUGGAUUGUUAACUGACUGUUUUAUCAGAAAAGUAUAUGGUUUCUUCAUUUAAAUUGUACAGUGCAAAGUAAUUUCCUGUUAUCCAAA